GACGAACGCUGGCGGCGUGCUUAACACAUGCAAGUCGAACGGAAAGGCCCUGCUUUUGUGGGGUGCUCGAGUGGCGAACGGGUGAGUAACACGUGAGUAACCUGCCCUUGACUUUGGGAUAACUUCAGGAAACUGGGGCUAAUACCGGAUAGGAGCUCCUGCGGCAUGGUGGGGGUUGGUAAGUUUCGGCGGUUGGGGAUGGACUCGCGGCUUAUCAGCUUGUUGGUGGGGUAGUGGCUUACCAAGGCUUUGACGGGUAGCCGGCCUGAGAGGGUGACCGGCCACAUUGGGACUGAGACACGGCCCAGACUCCUACGGGAGGCAGCAGUGGGGAAUAUUGCACAAUGGGCGGAAGCCUGACGCAGCACCGCCGCGUGCGGGAUGACGGCCUUCGGGUUGUAAACCGCUUUCGCCUGUGACGAAGCGUGAGUGACGGUAAUGGGUAAAGAAGCACCGGCUAACUACGUG
rnacentral:rRNA from 1 species